rnacentral:rRNA from 1 species
CCGCGAAUCGCCCUUCGGGGUGCACCAGGCGCGAAAACUUUACAAUGCUGGCAACAGCGAUAAGGGGACCUCGAGUGCCAGGAUACAAUCCUGGCUGUCGUAAUGCCUAAAAAGCAUUGCAUAGCAAGGGCCGGGCAAGACCGGUGCCAGCCGCCGCGGUAACACCGGCGGCUCGAGUGGUAACCGCUAUUAUUGGGUCUAAAGGGUCUGUAGCCGGCUGACUAAGUCUCUUGGGAAAUCUGGCAGCUCAACUGUCAGGCUUUCAGGAGAUACUGAUCGGCUCGAGACCGGGAGAGGUGAGAGGUACCUCAGGGGUAGGGGUGAAAUCUUGUAAUCCUUGAGGGACCACCAGUGGCGAAGGCGUCUCACCAGAACGGAUCUGACGGCAAGGGACGAAAGCUAGGGGCACGAACCGGAUUAGAUACCCGGGUAGUCCUAGCCGUAAACGAUACUCGCUAGGUGUCGGCCACGGUGCGACCGUGGUCGGUGCCGUAGGGAAGCCGUGAAGCGAGCCACCUGGGAAGUACGGCCGCAAGGCUGAAACUUAAAGGAAUUGGCGGGGGAGCAC